rnacentral:rRNA from 1 species
UACAGAGGUCCCAAGCGUUUGUUCGGAUUUACUGGGCGUAAAGGGUGCGUAGGCGGUCGGGUAAGUCUGACGUGAAAUCUUCAAGCUUAACUUGGAACUGCGUCGGAUACUAUUCGGCUCGAGGAAUGGAGGGGAGACUGGAAUUCCUGGUGUAGCGGUGGAAUGCGCAGAUAUCAGGAGGAACACCGGUGGCGAAGGCGGGUCUCUGGGCCGAUACUGACGCUGAGGAGCGAAAGCGUGGGGAGCGAACAGG